rnacentral:sRNA from 1 species
CCCAGAGGUAUUGAUUGGUGUGAAUACAGUCUGCUCCCGGCGGACUGCACCCUGUUCAGUUGCACCAACCCACGCGGAUGCGUGGGUUUUUUUU